GCCUAUCUCAGCUGCAUUCGGGCGGAAGGCGGGUGAACAAAUCCUCCUAAACGACAGCAAAUAUUACAAAAUUAGCUCGUUUGAGAUGACACUGUUUCAAAAUGGACGUCAAGAUAACGUCAAAUUUCAGGCGACGGCAGCAUUCCCGACCAACACCAUCACCGCGGUGUUGGAGAGCCAAAGAUCCAUCACAGAUUAACAACCUGUCAGCACUCUAGUCCACGUUUGUUGUCUGCGUCCUCGUAACCGGGCGGCUGUGAUCCCUCUUCUGAUGAAGACCUUCGCAGCUCCAAUUAGGAACUAGCUUGAGGCACAGAGAAGGUUCUGGUCCAACAUAUCUUGGUAAAAAAGCCACCAUCAACAUGACGCACGAUUUGCAACUUCACUCCAGUUUCUAAGCGCUGUUUUCACUACCUGCUUAUAAUUUGUGAUUAGUGCUCUCACCUGGUGCCCAUCAAUAAUCACAACACCUUUAAAUGCCUGUCUCACAGCUUAGUCAGCAUGGGCUCAUUGCGUUUGCUUCACACAUGUUUUUGUUACGGAUCUUUCUGCUCUGCUGCCUGUUGUAUGUAUUCUCAGUUCGCUUAGCUUUUAAUGUACAGUUUCUCUGUGCUUUUUGGGCGCAUUUUUCCUUGCUGCCCGCUAUUUGGAUCUGUCUGUUUGGAUCAUUAAAUACCUUUUUCACCUGCACGCUUCCUUCUGCUCCUGUAUUUUGGGGUUCCCUUCCGUGACGAUGACCGUUCGUGACAUCCAGGACUUUUUUACUGGAAUAAAAAACGGCAUUAGUGCCAUUGCACUGGAGUGGAAGUACAAACGUGUAUCUAAACAAGUCAUGGCUCACACAGGCUAACUAUAGAAUACAGAAAGAUUGUUGUAC